rnacentral:rRNA from 1 species
UACAGAGGUCUCAAGCGUUGUUCGGAUUCAUUGGGCGUAAAGGGUGCGUAGGUGGCGCCGUAAGUCGGGGUGUGAAAUUUCGGAGCUUAACUCCGAAACUGCAUUCGAUACUGCGGUGCUUGAGGACUGGAGAGGAGACUGGAAUUCAUGGUGUAGCAGUGAAAUGCGUAGAGAUCAUGAGGAAGACCAGUGGCGAAGGCGGGUCUCUGGGCAAUAACUGACGCUGAGGAGCGAAAGCGUGGGGAGCGAACAGG